GGUCUUAUAGUCAAACGGUUAAGACGUAGCUCUCUCAAUGCUAAGACACGGGUUCGACUCCCGUUAAGAUCACCA
rnacentral:tRNA from 1 species